rnacentral:rRNA from 1 species
CGCGUAGGCGGACCUUCAAGUCGGAUGUGAAAACUAUUGGCUUAACUGAUAGCCUGCAUUCGAUACUGUCGGUCUUGAGUACGGGAGAGGAGAGUGGAAUUCCAGGUGUAGCGGUGAAAUGCGUAGAUAUCUGGAAGAACACCAGUAGCGAAGGCGGCUCUCUGGACCGAUACUGACGCUCAAGCGCGAAGGCAUGGGGAGCAAACA